UCUCCAUCGGUCUUAUUGUCAGUCACCUGAAUGGUUUCCUCUUUUGGUUGAACUUCCUUGCUGACAUCUGCUAUAUUACACUCCUCAAAUUCUUCAAGAGGUGGGUGUUGAAACACUUCUUAAAGAUAUUGGCAUUAGCUCCAAAUCUACAUCAUUCCUAAUCAGUGCUGUCACAACCUUGUUGAUUCUUCCUGGUGAGCUUUAAGCAUGAGGCUCAUAGAUAUCUCAGUAAGAAGGCAACUACGACUCGCUGCGAUUCCUGUGUUGAUAGUCUCGCUUAUGCUUUUGCUUCUGCUGCUUUAAGAUAGCCUAUGGACCAAUUCCAAACUUACUCUGCUCUGAGAUUUUUCCAACAAGGGUGUGCGGCCUCUGCAUAGCUAUAUGCGCUCUAGUGUUAUGGAUUGGAAGCAUAAUUGUCACAUACACACUGCCUGUGAUGCUCAGCUCAAUCGGACUCGCCGGUUUCUUUGGCAUAUAUGCUGUUGCUUGUUCCAACUCCUGGAUAUUUGUGUUCCUGAAGGUUCCAGAAACAUAGGGCAUGCUUCUGCCUAGAAUCUGUGACAAAAUAUUGAUCUCAUUCUCAUGAGUUUAGCGUGUAUGCAAGCAUGUCAGUUAGUUAGUUAGAGAAAGAUAUCUUGGUUGUAGUUCAAUUUCAAACGUAUAUGUACCAUCCUUCUUAAGGUGGAAUGAAAGUUUAUGAUUACUUGAUUAGCUUGAUUUA